CAUGUUGAAACACCAGUUCCUGUACAAUCACAGAAGUUAAGAAAUGUUGGGCCUGGUCAGUAGUUAGGUGGGUGACUGCUUGGUAAUACCAGGUGCU